UAUACACACUUCAAAAAGUGGGUGGGCUA
rnacentral:piRNA from 1 species